GGGAUUGUGGCUCAGCGGUAGAGCACUUCCCUAUCAUGGGUGGGACCAAGGUUCAAUCCUCAGCCCCA
rnacentral:tRNA from 1 species